GGGUUGGUGGUGCUAAGCCCGCCGGGGGAUGCCUCGGCUCGGGAGCCGAAGAAGGGCGUGCCAAGCUGCGAUAAGCCCGGGGUAGGCGCAUGGAGCCUUUGAUCCCGGGAUCCCCGAAUGGGAAUCCUGCUAGGGAUUUAAGAUCCCUAGCACUCGGGCUUUAUGCUCGAGGGGGAACGGGGGGAAGUGAAGCAUCUCAGUACCCCCAGGAAAAGAAAUCAAUAGAGAUGCCGGGAGUAGGGGCGACCGAAACCGGCACAGGGCAAACCGAACUCUAUAGCGAUGAGCUAUAGGGGAUGUGGAGUUGUAGGACCCGGGUCUACCCUUCCUCCCAUAUCCGAAGUCCGCUAGAAUGCGGCGCCGUAGAGGGUGAUAGCCCCGUAGGAGAAAUGGGAGGGGGGUAAUGCCGGGUAUUCUGAGUACCACUGCGUGGUUUCGCAGUGGGAAGCUGGGGGGCAUUACCCUCCAACUCUAAAUACUCCCCGAGUCCGAUAGCGAACUAAGUAUCGUGAGAGAAAGGUGAAAAGAACUGCGUGAGCAGAGUGAAAAGAGCCUGAAACCGGCGGGCGACGGUUAGCCAUGGCCCAAAAGCUUACCUCCUCUAAAGAGCUAAAUACUCGAAGAGGGGGUAGCGGGGUCAUGGCGUCCGUGUUGAAAAACGGGCCAGGGAGUGUGGGGGAGUGGCGAGCUUAAGAGAAUUAAUCUCGAAAGCGUAGCGAAAGCGAUUUCCCGCAGCGCAUAUGCGCGAGGGGAAAGGUCUUAAAGGGCCUUAAGUCACUUCCCCACAACCGGAAGCCGGGCGAUCUAGGCCGGGGCAGGGUGAAGGGGGUUAAUAACCCCUGGAGGUCCGAAGGGGUGGUGAGAUGCCAGUCUCUCCUCUGACCCCGGUCUAGGGGUGAUAAGCCAAACGAGCCCGGGCAUAGCCGGUUCCCCCCGAAAUAGUCCACAGGCUAGCCUCCCUGGAGCAUUCCUGGCGUGUAGAGUUACUGAUUGAACGAUAAGGGCCGAAAGGCCUGGUCGUUCAGUCAAACUCCGAAGCACCAGGAUGCGAAGAAGGGGGGAGUUGGGGUGCUGGGGAAAGCUCGGCAUCCGAAAGGGGAACAACCCAGUCCCGGGUUAAGGUCCCAAAGUGGUCUCUAAGUGCCGAAGGGGUCAACCCCCUUAGACAGCGGGGCCGUAGGCCUAGAAGUAGCCAUCGGCUAAAAAGUGUGUAACAACUUACCCGCCGAGGGGGUUGGCCUUGAAAAUGGAAGGGACUAAGAGACUCACCGAGACCCGGGACCACCUAGCUGAGCUAGGUGGUGGUAGGGGGGCGUGCUAUGGGUUGAGAAGGGGGUGAGUGAUCAUCCCUGGAACCCAUAGCAAUGCAGAUCCUGGCAGCAGUAGCAGCUUAGUGGGGUGAAAAUCCCCACUCCCUUAGGGGCAAGGGUUUGCCGGCAAUGUUCGUCAGCCGGCAGUUAGCCGGUCCUAAGGGCAGGGCUAAUCUACCUGCCCGAAAGGGAAACCGGUUAAUAUUCCGGUGCCACCCCCAUACAUGCGGCAACGCAAGCCCUGUUGGUGACGCCUCGGGCUAGGCGGAGGUAACCCAAGCCUAUAAGCCCCCGAAGUCUCGUAAUGAGGAGAAGGGGGUGAAAUGGCGAUGGGCCUGGUGUAUGCCAGGUUCCGCCGAUGCCUGGGGCCUGUGAAAAGCCAACAGGGAAGGAUUGGGGGCGACCGUACCGAGAACCGACACAGGUGCCCUGGCUGAGAAGGCUAAGGGGGUGCGGGAUAACCCGCCCUAGGGAACUCGGCAAGUUGGCCCCGUAUGUUCGCUAGAAGGGGUGCCUGGACUCCUGAACUAUCGCUCAGCGAAAAGCUGGGUGAUAGCUAGGGAGCCCAGGUCGCAGUGACAAGGGGAGGGCGACUGUUUAACAAAAACAUAGGGGGCUGCAAGCCCGAAAGGGUGUGUACAGCCCCUGAGGUCUGCCCAGCGGGGGUGUGUGAAAGCCGGUUCCAACCGGCUGAAGCCACCCCCGAGCGGCGGCGGUAACCCUGACCGUCGUAAAGUACCGUAAUUCCUUGCCGCUUAAUUGGCGGCCAGGGAACGGCUUAACGACCCUCCCACUGUCCCAGGGCGGGACCCGGCGAAAAUACCAUCCUGGUGAAUAGGCUAGGGACCUCCAGCGGGAAGCGAAGACCCCGUGGAGCUUUACUGCAGCCUGGCGUUGCCCUCUGGGUAAGGAUACGUAGAGUAGGUGGGAGCAAUGAAGAUGUGGCUCCGGCUACAUCGGAUGCGAAAGUGAAACACCACCUAUCCUUACCUAGGGGGCUAACUCGGAUGAGGACAGCGCCAGGUGGGCAGUUCGGCUGGGGCGGCUCCCUUCGAAAAGAUAUCGGAGGGGCCCAAAGGUCAGCUCAGGCGGGUCAGAAAUCCGCCGUAGAGUGCAAGGGCAAAAGCUGGCCUGACUGGAUCCCGACAACAAGGGAUCCAGAGGCGAAAGCCGGGCCUAGCGAUACGCUGGUUGCCUGUAAUGGGCGCCAGCGGUAACGGAAAAGCUACCCCGGGGAUAAUGGGUCCGUGGCCGGCGAGAGUCCAUAUCGACCCGGCGCGUUGAUACGUAGAUGUCGGCUCCCCCCCUCCUGGGCGUGCAGAAGCGCCCAAGGGUACAGGUGCCCACUGGUUAAAGGGGGACGUUAGCUGGGUUCAGAACGUGGUGACACAGUUCGGCCGGUAUCUGCUGGGGGUGCAGGGGGCCUGACCGGAACGACCUCCUAGUACGAAAGGAACGGAGGUCGGGGGCCUCUGGUGUACCGGUUGUUAAUCGCAAGCCGGGCAGCUACGCCCCAGUGGAUAAGCCCUGAAAGCAUCUAAGGGCGAAGUCACCCGGGAAAACAGGCCCCCAAUCGUACUGCUGGGAGAAAUCCCGGCAGUACGACGAAGCCCCUCCUAGACGAGGAGGUUGAUGGGGUGGGGGUGUAAGCGUCGAGCUUUCGAGCGAGGCGCGAGCCCGCCACUCCCAAUAAGGCUAGGCCACCAACCC
rnacentral:rRNA from 1 species